rfam:Ictidomys tridecemlineatus contig035212, whole genome shotgun sequence.
GGGGUUGUAGCUCAGUGAUAGAGCACUUGCCUAGCAUGCAGGAGACACUGUGUUCGAUCCCCAGCACCA